GGGAGAUCUUUAUCGKUUUACAUUGUUUCAUUUUUUGGAAACUGGUGAAUGUAGUGAAUUGACAUCUAGCACACCAGUAUUUGAGGCAAACAGCAUAGAAAAGAUAAAAUAUCCUCUGGUCAUGCUAAAAAAGAUCUCAGUUUUCCCCGAGAGCGUUAGACUGCUUUUAGAAGGUA